rnacentral:rRNA from 1 species
AUUGAACGCUGGCGGCCGGCCUAACACAUGCAAGUCGAACGAGUGGCAGACGGGUGAGUAAUGUCUGGGAAACUGCCUGAUGGAGGGGGAUACCUACUGGAAACGGCAGCUAAUACCGCAUACCAUAGGAUAGUCGCAUAUGGGAUGAGCUAGUAGGUGGGGUAACGGCUCACCUAUGCGACGAUCCCUAGCUGAUCUGAGAGGAUGACAGGCCAGACUGGAACUGAGACAGGGUCCAGAUUCCUACGGGAGGAAGAAGGGGGGAAUAUUGCACAAUGGGAGGAAGCAUGAUGCAGCCAUGCCGCGUGUGUGAAGAAGGCCUUCGGGUUGUAAAGUACUUUCAGCGGGGAGGCGUUAACCGCAGAAAAAGCACCGGCUAACUCCGGGCCAGCAGCCGCGGUAAUUC